GAAGGUGCAGCCUAGUGGUAGGGUGCACGCCUGGCAUGCCUGAGAUCCUGGGUUCAAUCCCCAGUACCUCCA
rnacentral:tRNA from 1 species